UAUUUUUCCAAUGAGGUCAUUAGCAACAGUUGUUUCCUCUCUAUGUCUACAUUAGUAAAGUUAACUGUUAUGUUAACUUUUUACUGACCCACCUUGAACAAGAACCCUGGAGAAGUCUUUGUAAGCAAUAUUGAUUUUACCAGAAAAUAUCUUUUCAAGCAGCUAAGGAGGGAUGCAGUUGACAGCUAUGAAGAAAGCAGCAGUGCCUUAGAGGACUCAGACCCAAAUUCUCAAUGUUCCCCAGAGGUAAGUACCUCCUAUAUAUAUUUUAGUGAGAAAAAAUUGUCACAUAACUAGCACUCUAGCAGCUUCUUUGUGUUCCCUUCUAGACACAUAUCCCAGUGAUUCACUACUUUUGCUUGGUUUUGUAUUUGAUUUUAAAAAGGUAUCCUCCCUAAUGUUUUACAUCAGUCUCAUAUAUCAACCAACGCUAUGUUUAUCAUAAAAUAU
rnacentral:lncRNA from 1 species